AGUCGAACGAACUCUGGUAUUGAUUGGUGCUUGCAUCAUGAUUUACAUUUGAGUGAGUGGCGAACUGGUGAGUAACACGUGGGAAACCUGCCCAGAAGCGGGGGAUAACACCUGGAAACAGAUGCUAAUACCGCAUAACAACUUGGACCGCAUGGUCCGAGUUUGAAAGAUGGCUUCGGCUAUCACUUUUGGAUGGUCCCGCGGCGUAUUAGCUAGAUGGUGAGGUAACGGCUCACCAUGGCAAUGAUACGUAGCCGACCUGAGAGGGUAAUCGGCCACAUUGGGACUGAGACACGGCCCAAACUCCUACGGGAGGCAGCAGUAGGGAAUCUUCCACAAUGGACGAAAGUCUGAUGGAGCAACGCCGCGUGAGUGAAGAAGGGUUUCGGCUCGUAAAACUCUGUUGUUAAAGAAGAACAUAUCUGAGAGUAACUGUUCAGGUAUUGACGGUAUUUAACCAGAAAGCCACGGCUAACUACGUGCCAGCAGCCGCGGUAAUACGUAGGUGGCAAGCGUUGUCCGGAUUUAUUGGGCGUAAAGCGAGCGCAGGCGGUUUUUUAAGUCUGAUGUGAAAGCCUUCGGCUCAACCGAAGAAGUGCAUCGGAAACUGGGAAACUUGAGUGCAGAAGAGGACAGUGGAACUCCAUGUGUAGCGGUGAAAUGCGUAGAUAUAUGGAAGAACACCAGUGGCGAAGGCGGCUGUCUGGUCUGUAACUGACGCUGAGGCUCGAAAGUAUGGGUAGCAAACAGGAUUAGAUACCCUGGUAGUCCAUACCGUAAACGAUGAAUGCUAAGUGUUGGAGGGUUUCCGCCCUUCAGUGCUGCAGCUAACGCAUUAAGCAUUCCGCCUGGGGAGUACGGCCGCAAGGCUGAAACUCAAAGGAAUUGACGGGGGCCCGCACAAGCGGUGGAGCAUGUGGUUUAAUUCGAAGCUACGCGAAGAACCUUACCAGGUCUUGACAUACUAUGCAAAUCUAAGAGAUUAGACGUUCCCUUCGGGGACAUGGAUACAGGUGGUGCAUGGUUGUCGUCAGCUCGUGUCGUGAGAUGUUGGGUUAAGUCCCGCAACGAGCGCAACCCUUAUUAUCAGUUGCCAGCAUUAAGUUGGGCACUCUGGUGAGACUGCCGGUGACAAACCGGAGGAAGGUGGGGAUGACGUCAAAUCAUCAUGCCCCUUAUGACCUGGGCUACACACGUGCUACAAUGGAUGGUACAACGAGUUGCGAACUCGCGAGAGUAAGCUAAUCUCUUAAAGCCAUUCUCAGUUCGGAUUGUAGGCUGCAACUCGCCUACAUGAAGUCGGAAUCGCUAGUAAUCGCGGAUCAGCAUGCCGCGGUGAAUACGUUCCCGGGCCUUGUACACACCGCCCGUCACACCAUGAGAGUUUGUAACACCCAAAGUCGGUGGGGUAACCUUUUAGGAACCAGCCGCCUAAGGUGGGAC
rnacentral:rRNA from 2 species